rnacentral:misc_RNA from 1 species
UACAGAGACCCCAAACGUUAUCCGGAAUCACUGGGCGUAAAGCGUUCCGAUUGGUGGUUUGGUAAGUCUUUGGUGAAAGCCUCGAGCUCAACUCGAGAAUCGCCAAGGAAACUAUCAGACUAGAAGGGCAAAGAGGGAGCUAGAACUCUGGGUGUAGCGGUGAAAUGCGUUGAUAUCCAGAGGAAUACUCAAAGCGAAGGCAGGCUCCUGGGUGCCUCUUGACACUGCUAGGACGAAAGCGUGGGGAGCGAAUGGG